rnacentral:rRNA from 1 species
AGUGGGGAAUAUUCGCGCAAUGGGGGGAACCCUGACGCAGCCAUGCCGCGUGAAUGAAGAAGGCCUUAGGGUUGUAAAGUUCUUUCGGUAUUGAGGAAGGUUGAUGUGUUAAUAGCACAUCAAAUUGACGUUAAAUACAGAAGAAGCACCGGCUAACUCCGUGCCAGCAGCCGCGGUAAUACGGAGGGUGCGAGCGUUAAUCGGAAUAACUGGGCGUAAAGGGCACGCAGGCGGUUAUUUAAGUGAGGUGUGAAAGCCCCGGGCUUAACCUGGGAAUUGCAUUUCAGACUGGGUAACUAGAGUACUUUAGGGAGGGGUAGAAUUCCACGUGUAGCGGUGAAAUGCGUAGAGAUGUGGAGGAAUACCGAAGGCGAAGGCAGCCCCUUGGGAAUGUACUGACGCUCAUGUGCGAAAGCGUGGGGAGCAAACAGGAUUAGAUACCCUGGUAGUCCACGCUGUAAACGCUGUCGAUUUGGGGGUUGGGGUUUAACUCUGGCGCCCGUAGCUAACGUGAUAAAUCGACCGCCUGGGGAGUACGGCCGCAAGGUUA